rnacentral:rRNA from 1 species
CCUACGGGGGGCAGCAGUGGGGAAUAUUGGACAAUGGGGGCAACCCUGAUCCAGCCAUGCCGCGUGUGUGAAGAAGGCCCUCGGGUUGUAAAGCACUUUCAGUGAGGAAGAACGCCUGGUGGUUAAUACCCAUCAGGAAAGACAUCACUCACAGAAGAAGCACCGGCUAACUCCGUGCCAGCAGCCGCGGUAAUACGGAGGGUGCGAGCGUUAAUCGGAAUUACUGGGCGUAAAGCGCGCGUAGGUGGCUUGAUAAGCCGGUUGUGAAAGCCCCGGGCUCAACCUGGGAACGGCAUCCGGAACUGUCAAGCUAGAGUGCAGGAGAGGAAGGUAGAAUUCCCGGUGUAGCGGUGAAAUGCGUAGAGCUCGGGAGGAAUACCAGUGGCGAAGGCGGCCUUCUGGACUGACACUGACACUGAGGUGCGAAAGCGUGGGUAGCAAACAGGAUUAGAUACCCCAGUAGUC